GCCGGGCGCGGUGGCGCGCGCCUGUAGUCCCAGCUACUCGGGAGGCUGAGGCCAGAGGAUUGCUUGAGUCCAGGAGUUCUGGGCUGUCGUGCGCUAUGCCGAUCGGGUGUCCCCACUAAGUUCGGCAUCAAUAUGGUGACCUCCCAGGAGCGGGGGACCACCAGGUUGCCUAAGGAGGGGUGAACCGGCCCAGGUCGGAAACGGAGCAGGUCAAAAAUCAAUAACAGUAGACAUCCCAAAGAUACAUGGGCAAGACGAAAAGAUAUUCAAAUAGACACAAAGUAAUAGGAAAGAGUACUCUACCUCUC
ensembl:misc_RNA Metazoa_SRP Metazoan signal recognition particle RNA